UUUCCUACGGGGGGCAGCAGUGGGGAAUAUUGCACAAUGGGGGAAACCCUGAUGCAGCGACGCCGCGUGAGUGAAGAAGUAUCUCGGUACGUAAAGCUCUAUCAGCAGGGAAGAAAAAAAGUCUUUGGCUUUGGACGGUACCUGACUAAGAAGCCCCGGCUAACUACGUGCCAGCAGCCGCGGUAAUACGUAGGGGGCAAGCGUUAUCCGGAUUUACUGGGUGUAAAGGGAGCGUAGACGGCAGUGCAAGUCUGAAGUGAAAGGCGGGGGCCCAACCCCCGGACUGCUUUGGAAACUGUGCUGCU
rnacentral:rRNA from 1 species